GAGAAAUCAAGUUGUUUCCAGUGGCUGCUAGAGAAGGAUUAACGCGUGAGCCCAGGCAGGGUUGUAGGAGCAACAUGAAGGCUGCACGGGAGGAGAAUCAGUAGCACACGCAGCAGCGAUUGGGCAGCGCAGGAGAGAGAGCACAGGAUCUCCAUCCAGACCAGCACUGAAGGGAAAAAUAACAGAAGGAGGGCGGAGCAGCAGCAGCAGCAGCCACUUCCAACACAACACAUGGAGAGGGAAGAAACACCCACCUGCAGCAGCAGCUUCCAGAGAAACAGCAGCACUGCUCACCUUCAGCCGUGGCACAACAAGCAGCAGUAUGGAGCGGACAUGGAGGCACGUAUCCUCCUCUAAUAACAGCCAGAGGUGCGAGUGGGAAGCAGCGGCAUCAUCUCAUGGUUCCCAUACUGUGGUACUGAUCUCCAAGAAGAAGGAAGGAGUUUUGAGGCUAGGCAUGCUAUAAUUUAAAGGCCCUCUGCCAUUCAUUUUAUAGUCUCUCAUUCAAACCACUGCCUGCUUUCUCAGGAAAAUGGCACCAUAGAAACUGGAUAGCUGCUAAAAUUCCACCCUGACAGCUACUGAACAGACGCCUACAUCUGAUAUUUCUAUACGCAAUAUACCUGAGUUUGGAACUGAAAUACUGGCAAAGCAGGUAGCACUAUUAAAGGAAAAGGAAAUGUUAAAGUAAGCCUUAUCAGAAAGCCCCCAAAGUAGUGCUGCUCUGAGUC